GCCCAGGUGGCGGAAUUGGUAGACGCGCUGGCUUCAGGUGCCAGUGCCGGCAACGGCGUGGAGGUUCGAGUCCUCUCCUGGGCACCA
rnacentral:tRNA from 1 species